rnacentral:rRNA from 1 species
GAACCUCUGGUGUACCGGUUGUGACGCCAGUCGCAUCGCCGGGUAGCUAUGUUCGGAAGGGAUAACCGCUGAAAGCAUCUAAGCGGGAAGCCUACCUCAAGAUAAGAUUUCCCUAGGACUUUAUGUCCUCUAAAGAGCCGUUCGAGACUAGGACGUUGAUAGGUUGGAUGUGGAAGCAUAGUGAUAUGUGAAGCUGACCAAUACUAAUUGCUCGUGAGGCUUGACUAUACAACACCCAAGCAGUUG